CAGCCUUGCAGUCAACACAAAGCGAACUAUUCUUUCGCCUUUUACUAAAGAAUACCGUGUGCGCGCUGCAUAAAGAGGCAUACUCCAAUUUUUUGAGGGAGCCUACUCAGAUUGGCUCC